GGGGGGCACCCCAAAUGAAGGAUUAGUGGGGGGGGGGCACCCCAAAUGAAGGAUUAGAAAUGUACAUCCAGUAUUUGAUUUCUACUUGGUUGAAACACCUGAACACCAGAAAUGCUAAAACACAUCACUGUUUCUCUGCGUGUGCAGAGGGUAUUUUGUUUCAAUAAAAUCAAUACAAUUUGAUGGAUCGUUAUAAUGAAGCAGAUUCAAUACACAUCUUCAAUCAUUGUCAAAUGGAACACACGUGUGUGUGUGUGUGUGUGUGAUAUCCUGUUUGGCUGGCUCAAUACCCAAAGUCUAGCCCCUGUUGAACUUGAUCUAAAGCCUCUAAGGCUGGGUGGGGUUAACCGUUUGUGUAGCAUGUAUAGCAUUGCAACAGCAUUCUCACAUUACACAUAUUACUGUAGACUUUUCUCCUCAAAUGUCAGAUACAUACAUUGAGCAUACAUGUAUUUGUGUCAUGUACAUAAAAACAUUUGAAGUCACUUUUUUUGGGGGGGGGGGGGGGGGAUUGCUAUCAUGUUGACACUUUAUUUAGUCUGCUUUCUUCUUCUGGUGAUUUUUUUAUAUUUUUAUUUUAUUUGAUACUUGUAUCGGCCAGAUUUUCUGUUUUGUAAAAAUAAAAAUAAAACGUAGUUAUGUUGCAUGUAUUUUGUGUACAAAGUUUUCUGGUGUCUGUAGUAACUGUGAAAAAAUGACAACCACUCACCUGUGAAUAUUUUGUUAUAAGUUAUUUGUAACUGUAUAUACGUCGUUGUAUUUUUCAGCUUUUAAACGUUGACACCAAUCAUGAAUUAAAACCAUUCUGGAAAAACUGA